AUGUUUUGUUUUGUUGUGUUGUCCGUCCAGGAAAGCUUAGAAAGAAAAUUUGGGAAGCAGGGAGCAGGGAGGACCCAUCCCCAUCGUACCCACCGCUGAUUUCCAGGCCCGAGUUGCUGGUGCCUCUGAGAAGGACAUUGUACACUCUGGGUUGGCCUACACAAUGGAGCGAUCUGCACGACAAAUCAUGCGCACAGCCAGCAAGUACAACCUGGGUCUGGACCUGCGGACGGCGGCGUACGUCAACGCCAUCGAGAAAGUCUUCAAAGUCUACAACGAGGCGGGGCUUACCUUCACAUAGAUGUCUCAUCCAGACCUGCACUGCUUCACCCUUCCUCCUUACCCCCCAGCUACACCCCCUCCUCAUUGCCCUGCUUCCCUCCACAUUGUAAACCAGCCCUCAGAACAUAUCACUGUUUACCGCUGCUCAUAGGCUCAGUAGCCGGCCUGGUGUUUAUUCUGUAAUCGUUGUGCUACCAUUAUGUUUCCUCACCUCGUCGAGGUAGUCGCUUCUGCCUGAAGCUGCAGUGAAAACUGUCCGCAGGGAAAGUCCAGGACAUUUGUCCCGCCCCCUCCAGCCGUCAGUCAAAUGUUUCUGAUAUUGUGGAAUAGCCAUGUUCUCUGCAUUCUUCCUGUUUGCAGGGCGCAUGUGUGACCUUCUCGUUGCAGUUGUUUAUGUUGACACCACUACAGUUGCCUUAUUGCAGAAAGAAGUCUACUUUAAAUGAAAAGAUAAAAGGCCACUUUAAUCUAAGCUAAUUUAAAGAAGUUUAGAUGUAACUUAAUAUUAAAAAAUAGAUAGGAACUUUAGUUUGUCCUCUAUCUUGGUGUCAAGUUCAGCAGUGGAGUUUCAAACUUUUAGGACUCCUAUUUUCUUCCGUGUUUUUACUGUACUGUGGGUGGAUGUGGGUGGAUGCUCUCCUUCUUCCCUACGUUUUCCUUAUUUUUAUCUUUCCCGUUAGCUUCCGCGCAGCUUCUCCCUAACUGCUCUACUGGCUGAGAAAGAGGAGCAGAGAUGGGCGCAAGGUCACACUGUGAUCCCCCCUCCCCUGUUUUCUUCUAUCCGUCCUAUUAUUCAGCUUCAAAUGUUCUUUUGGAGGAAAAUAUUUUUAUUUUUUUUUUAUUAAUUUUGUUUUGGAAAACCAAUAAACUGUUCAAAAAC